AAACAGCGGUGGCGCCGCAUACGACAACGACCACUCCGCUGCACCUCUGCGACUUACUUGCGCUCUCUCUGUCUCUGUCUAUUUGCCCCUCUCUCUCUCUUCCACCCAAUCGAUUAGCUCACACGCGUUAUCUCUUUCUCUUUUUUGUUACUCGUUGUGUUUAACUCGCAAGCUCCACACGCUGGCACGCAGACGGACAACUUCAUCGCACCGUGCUUCUGCCUAUCUGUCUCACUGCGCACGUGUGCGGGCGCUUCGUUUAUUUCGUCACGUUCUCCCUGCCCGUCAUCCUCGUCAAGUCGACUCAUCAAACCACCGCCGGCGCCGCCCACCUCCCUCUCCCCCUCUCCCUCAAGUGUACCCCUCUUCCUUCAUUUCGUGUCCCUCAGUCGCCGCUGGUGGCUUUGCAGAACGUCCGUGUUGUCCGCCGGCGACGUUGCUUGUGGCGUCCCGCACGGCACUUCCGCGUGUACUGUGCUCUCGCUAUCGCACGGCAUACACUGUUCACAUCAGCAUACACGCCCAAGAAAAUGCCGACGGUGCCCUUCACAGGCCAGGUGCGGAUGGAGUGGUAUCAGUCCGUGGAGCAGAUCCACUUCACCUUCUAUGUCAAGGACCGCACAGUGGACGACGUCGUCGUGACGAAAACCGCCACGUCGCUCGAGGUGGCUAUCCGCCUCGAUGACAACGGACGCGAGUACAGCUGCAGCUACGAUCCGCUGUUUGCGGAGCUGACGGGUGAUGCCGCGUCCAUCUCGGUGCGUCCCAUGAAGGUCGAGGUCUCCGUGGCGAAGGCCCAGCCGUACCAAUGGCCGGCUCUGGAGCGCAAAGCCAGCGCAGAGGGCGCAGUGGUGCCCCCGAUCGGUGGCGCGCCAGAGAUCGCGCUUCCUGUAACGGCCAAGGACCUCAAGUACCCGAACAGCAAGGGCAAGGACUGGAGCGCGCUGAAGCUGGAGGUGGAGGAGGACGCAAAGCCGGAAGGAGAGGCGGCCCUCAACAAACUGUUCCAGCAAAUCUACGGCGACGGUUCCGAUGAGCAGCGCCGCGCGAUGAUCAAGUCCUUCACGGAGAGUGGUGGCACGGUGCUUUCCACCAACUGGGAAGACGUAAAAAAGAAGAAGGUGGAGGCGCAGCCGCCAAAGGGUAUGGAAGCGAAGACUAUUUCGGAGUAGUUGAGCAUCGACCCCCUUCCGCCCCUCCCCCCGACGCACCCAUGGGAGGUGCACUCGGGUUUGUCCACCAGCAACGGCAUCACUGCGUGUGUGCGUGUCUCCUUUCGUUGGCUGUUGCUGUUUGGGAAGGGGCAGUGGCGUUUGUGCUGCAGCGCAGUUACUACCCCCCACCCACCCACCCACCCACCCCCCAGACACACAUGCACGCAUACAAGUACACAAACGCACACGCACACACACCUCUCUCUCAUACACAGCACGUCACACGGGCACGCACCGCUUCUGCUCUCGCCUGCGCUCUUCUUACGUGUCAGAACCGAAGUGCGUGCACAGUUGAGUCGACGUUUUGUUGUACUCUCUGUUCGGUAUGUACGUGUCUUGUCUCUCCCUCUCUCUGUUGAACCGACCUGGCGCUGCACACGUCCUCAGCAGCGUCCCUCUCCUCCAUACCGUGCCUUCCUCUUUGUUUUUGUGUGUUCGCCUCUGAGGCUGACGUGGC
rnacentral:misc_RNA from 1 species